rnacentral:rRNA from 1 species
ACGCUCGACACCUACGGGAGUCAGCAGUUGGGAAUAUUGGACAAUGGAGGAAACUCUGAUCCAGUGACGCCGCGUGAAGGAAGAAGGUCUUCGGAUUGUAAACUUAUUUUGUCAGGGAAGAAAAAAAUGACUGUACCUGAAGAAAAAGCACCGGCUAACUACGUGCCAGCAGCCGCGGUAAUCUGAGCGGGCUGGCAAGGC